rnacentral:rRNA from 1 species
AGGGUUUGAUUAUGGCUCAGAACGUACGCUGGCGGCACGCCUAACACAUGCAAGUCGAACGAAGUAGCAAUACUUAGUGGCAGACGGGUGAGUAACAUGUAGGUAUCUGCCCUUUGGCCUGGAAUAACACGAGGAAACUUGUGCUAAUACCGGAUAAGUCUUUACGGAGAAAGCUUUAUGCACCAUUGGAUGAGCCUGCACUUGAUUAGUUUGUUGGUGGGGUAAUGGCCUACCAAGACUGUGAUCAAUAGCUGAUUUGAGAGGAUGAUCAGCCACAUUGGGACUGAGACACGGCCCAAACUCCUACGGGAGGCAGCAGUGGGGAAUCUUGCACAAUGGAGGAAACUCUGAUGCAGCGAUGCCGCGUGAGUGAAGAAGGCCCUUGGGUUGUAAAGCUCUUUCGUCGGGGAAGAAAAUGACUGUACCCGAAUAAGAAGGUCCGGCUAACUUCGUGCCAGCAGCCGCGGUAAUACGAAGGGACCUAGCGUAGUUCGGAAUUACUGGGCUUAAGGAGUUCGUAGGUGGUUGAAAAAGUUGGUGGUGAAAUCCCAGAGCUUAACUCUGGAACUGCCAUCAAAACUUUUCAGCUAGAGUAUGAUAGAGGAAAGCAGAAUUUCUAGUGUAGAGGUGAAAUUCGUAGAUAUUAGAAAGAAUACCAAUUGCGAAGGCAGCUUUCUGGAUCAUUACUGACACUGAGGAACGAAAGCAUGGGUAGCGAAGAGGAUUAGAUACCCUCGUAGUCCAUGCCGUAAACGAUGUGUGUUAGACGUUGGAAAUUUAUUUUCAGUGUCGCAGCGAAAGCGAUAAACACACCGCCUGGGGAGUACGACCGCAAGGUUAAAACUCAAAUGAAUUGACGGGGACCCGCACAAGUAGUGGAGCAUGUGGUUUAAUUCGAAGAUACGCGCAGAACCUUACCAACACUUGACAUGUUCGUCGCGACUUUAAGAGAUUAAAGUUUUCGGUUCGGCCGGACGAAACACAGGUGCUGCAUGGCUGUCGUCAGCUCGUGUCGUGAGAUGUUGGGUUAAGUCCCGCAACGAGCGCAACCCUCACUUUUAGUUGCCAUCAUUAAGUUGGGCACUCUGAAAGAACUGCCAGUGAUAAGCUGGAGGAAGGUGGGGAUGACGUCAAGUCCUCAUGGCCCUUACGUGUUGGGCUACACACGUGCUACAAUGGUAUCUACAACAGGAAGCAAGACUGCGAAGUUAAGCAAAUCCUUAAAAGAUACCUCAGUUCGGAUUGCACUCUGCAACUCGAGUGCAUGAAGCUGGAAUUACUAGUAAUCGUGGAUCAGCGUGCCACGGUGAAUGCGUUCCCGGGUCUUGUACACACCGCCCGUCACACCAUGGGAGUUGGUUCUACCUUAAGGCAAGGUUUAAAACCCUUGACCACGGUAUAGUCAGCGACUGGGGUGAAGUCGUAACAAGGUAGCCA